rnacentral:tRNA from 1 species
AAAGGUAUAGCUAAGAGGUAAAGCGUGUGCUUAGCAUGCACAACGUCCUGGAUUUGUUCAAUCCCCAGUACCUCCA